AGACAAUGUCUUCAGGCAGAGUCCAGCAAAGCAGAUGGUUUAGGGAUGUGCUCCGGAAAGUUUUUCGGAAUGCGGCACACUUUGCCUGGCUAGACAUUGUGGCCAACUGGAAGAAUU